CUUAGCUCAGUCGGUAGAGCAAUGGACUGUUAAUCCAUGUGUCGCUGGUUCAAGCCCAGCAG
rnacentral:tRNA from 1 species